rnacentral:rRNA from 1 species
UACGUAGGGUGCAAGCGUUAAUCGGAAUGACUGGGCGUAAAGGGUGCGCAGGCGGUCUGCUAAGACAGAGGUGAAAUCCCCGGGCUUAACCUGGGAAUGGCCUAUGUGACUGGCAGGCUAGAGGAUGGCAGAGGGAGGCGGAAUUCCACGUGUAGCAGUGAAAUGCGUAGAGAUGUGGAGGAACACCGAUGGCGAAGGCAGCCCCCUGGGUCAAGAUUGACGCUCAUGCACGAAAGCGUGGGGAGCAAACAGG